CUACCGCUAUUGGAGUCCGAUUAAGACAUGCGAGUCGAGAGCUUUCGGAGCUCGGCAUACUGCUCAGUAACACGUGGGUAACCUGCCCUAUGCUGGGGGAUAACCUCGGGAAACUGAGAACAAUACCCCAUAGUCCACUACGCCUGGAACGGUGAGUGGAUGAAAGCCCCGGCGGCAUAGGAUGGGCCUGCGGCGUAUCAGGUUGUAGGGGGUGUAAUGUACCCUCUAGCCUUCGACGCGUACGGGUUGUGAGAGCAAUAGCCCGGAGAUGGAUUCUGAGACAAGAAUCCAGGUCCUACGGGACGCAGCAGUCGCGAAACCUUGACAAUGCGGGAAACCGUGAUCAGGGGACUCCAAGUGCCAGGAGUAAGAUCCUGUGCUUUUCAUCUCUCUUCAAAGGAUUUGGAAUAAGAGGUGGGUAAGGACGGUGCCAGCCGCCGCGGUAAUACCGGCGCCUCAAGUGGUAGUCGAUUUUAUUGGGCCUAAAACGUCCGUCGCCGGUCUGGUGCAUUCGUGGGUAAAUCAACCCGCUCAACGGGUUGAAUUCUGCGAGCACGGCCAGACUAGGGACCGGGAGAGGUGUAGGGUACGCUCGGGGUAGGGGUAAAAUCCUGUCAUCCCGAGCGGACCACCUGUUGCGAAGGCGCUACACUAGAACGGAUCCGACGGUCAGGGACGAAGCCUAGGGGCACGAACCGGAUUAGAUACCCGGGUAGUCCUAGGUGUAAACGCUGUGGACUUGGUGUUGGAAGCUCCCAGAGGGCUUUCAGUGCCCGUAGCGAA
rnacentral:rRNA from 1 species